rnacentral:antisense_RNA from 1 species
CUUGAUGGCGCCCAGCCACAGCGGACUUCCCUCCGGCCGGCCCUGCCCGUAGGUGGCCAGCAGCGCCUGCGCCUC